AGAAGAAGCACCGGCUAACUCCGUGCCAGCAGCCGCGGUAAUACGGAGGGUGCGAGCGUUAAUCGGAAUUACUGGGCGUAAAGCGCAUGCAGGUGGUUUGUUAAGUCAAGAUGUGAAAGCCCGGGGACUCCGAACCUUCCGGAAUUGCAUUUGUAAACUAGGCAGACUAGAGUACUGUAGAGGGGGUAGGAAUUUCAGGUGUAGCGGUGAAAUGCGUAGAGAUCUGAAGGAAUACCGGUGGCGAAGGCGGCCCCCUGGACCAGAUAACUGACACUCAGAUGCGAAAGACGUGGGGAGCAAACAGGAUUAGAUACCCUGGUAG
rnacentral:rRNA from 1 species